rnacentral:rRNA from 1 species
CGGGACACGUGGUAUCCUGUCUGAAUAUGGGGGGACCAUCCUCCAAGGCUAAAUACUCCUGACUGACCGAUAGUGAACCAGUACCGUGAGGGAAAGGCGAAAAGAACCCCGGCGAGGGGAGUGAAAAAGAACCUGAAACCGUGUACGUACAAGCAGUGGGAGCACGCUUAGGCGUGUGACUGCGUACCUUUUGUAUAAUGGGUCAGCGACUUAUAUUCUGUAGCAAGGUUAACCGAAUAGGGGAGCCGAAGGGAAACCGAGUCUUAACUGGGCGUUAAGUUGCAGGGUAUAGACCCGAAACCCGGUGAUCUAGCCAUGGGCAGGUUGAAGGUUGGGUAACACUAACUGGAGGACCGAACCGACUAAUGUUGAAAAAUUAGCGGAUGACUUGUGGCUGGGGGUGAAAGGCCAAUCAAACCGGGAGAUAGCUGGUUCUCCCCGAAAGCUAUUUAGGUAGCGCCUCGUGAAUUCAUCUCCGGGGGUAGAGCACUGUUUCGGCAAGGGGGUCAUCCCGACUUACCAACCCGAUGCAAACUGCGAAUACCGGAGAAUGUUAUCACGGGAGACACACGGCGGGUGCUAACGUCCGUCGUGAAGAGGGAAACAACCCAGACCGCCAGCUAAGGUCCCAAAGUCAUGGUUAAGUGGGAAACGAUGUGGGAAGGCCCAGACAGCCAGGAUGUUGGCUUAGAAGCAGCCAUCAUUUAAAGAAAGCGUAAUAGCUCACUGGUCGAGUCGGCCUGCGCGGAAGAUGUAACGGGGCUAAACCAUGCACCGAAGCUGCGGCAGCGACGCUGAUGCGUUGUUGGGUAGGGGAGCGUUCUGUAAGCCUGCGAAGGUGUGCUGUGAGGCAUGCUGGAGGUAUCAGAAGU